AUAUGAUUUAUAAUUACAUAAUACUCAAAUUAAUGGACUCUAACCUAUUCUAAUACAAAAAUAACACAAUUCAAAUAUAACACGAUACUUAUAUAUAAUAUAAGAUAUAUUUAGGUUAUAAAAGGUCAACCAUUCAAAUUAACACAAAUGUUAUUUGUGCAAAAAAAUUGCUAAACUCCAAUCCGCCUUUUUAUGUGUUGCAUCGGUUAGUCGUAUGGCAAGUUGAAAAAGUAAUCAAAUAGACCAAAGAAAUUUAGAAGAGAACGAACCCCGUUUCCUUUUAACUUACUGUUGUUCCCUCUUGCCACCGUCACCAUGAAAAGUCUCUUUCUCUCUCUCUCUCUCUCUCUUAUAUCAGAUUUCAUGAACAAUAUCUCUCUUUCCUUCUAUAUAAUAAUCCAUUCACAUAUAUUAUCUACUUAUCUGUCUUGUCUAAUAUCUCUAUAAAUGCGACUCCAAGAAGUUCAUCCUCUGUAAUUCUCCUUCUUUCAAGUUCUCUUCCUCUUCUUCAACAAAAGGCAUUUACAAAAUUAGCUUGCUCAUCUUCGAGGAUACAAAAUGUGCAUGAACUCUGCAAACUUGAGUUCAUCAUACACCAUUACUUCAACGUUAUUUACUUCUCGCUAUGCACCGCCAUCAUCCAAGCGACGCAACCUUCGAGUUUGCCGCCUAAACAGGAGAAGAAGAUCAUCGAAAGAAGCACAAAGAAAGAAGAAGAUGGAAUUAAUAAACCUGAAGCUUUACAGGAAGAACCAAAGCAUCAUAAAGCAGAACGAGAAGCUGAGAAGAAAAGCACUUCUUCUUCGUCAAGAGAACCGAGCCUUAUUAUCUCAGCUACAAACCCAGUUCCCGGAUUAUUCACCGAACCAGUUGCCCCCACAACCAUUUUCAGUAAUAUAAUAAGCAUAAUCAAGCUGAAUGAUUAAUAAGAAUGAAUGGUGCAUAACACAGUGGUCUCUGACCACGACCAGGAACCAACUCGAGUUUGGAUCUUGACAUGUUGGUGGUUUUUAUUCCACUGCUUUCUUCUAGGUUUGAUCCUUCUUAAUUUAGCUUAAUUAUCACCCUCGUUUUGUUCUUUUUUAUUUCAUUGCUGGAAUUCAUUGAAUUGGGAUAUUGAGGAAAUUAUGGAUGUAACCAUUUUUCCCUGUCUAAUUGUUAGAUAAUGUGCGUGGAAUCAAUAGUAAAAAAAAUGAAUACUUGGAUUUUAUCACAA